rnacentral:rRNA from 1 species
CCCAGGUCAGGCGGGACUACCCGCUGAGUUUAAGCAUAUCAUAGCCCGGAAGGAAAAAAUGAUAAGGAAGGGCCA